GAGCUGUACGGGCGUUAUGUCGCUGUGGCCCGGUACCAGACCCCAAAGGAGAACGAUGUCAGGGGUCUGGGCAGCUA
rnacentral:ncRNA from 1 species